rnacentral:rRNA from 1 species
UACAGAGGUCCCAAGCGUUGUUCGGAUUCACUGGGCGUAAAGGGUGCGUAGGUGGCCAGGUAAGUUUGGUGUGAAAGCUCGGAGCUUAACUCCGAAAAGUCAUUGAAUACUAUCUGGCUGGAGGGUCGGAGGGGAGACUGGAAUUCUCGGUGUAGCAGUGAAAUGCGUAGUUAUCGAGAGGAACACCAGUGGCGAAGGCGAGUCUCUGGACGACUCCUGACACUGAGGCACGAAAGCUAGGGGAGCAAACAGG